rnacentral:misc_RNA from 1 species
GAUGAAGAACGUAGCGAAAUGCGAUAAGUAAUGCGAAUUGCAGAAUUCCGUGAGUCAUCGAAUCUUUGAACGCACAUUGCGCCCUCUGGUAUUCCGGAGGGCAUGCCUGUCUGAGCGUCAUUGUCAACCCUCAAGCUCAGCUUGCUGUUGGGUCCCCGUCGUUGCUUUAACGGCGGACCCGAAAGGUAAUGGCAGAGUCCGUGAGACCCUAGACGCAGCGAGCUUCUAGCACGCGUCUGGACGUUUUUCGGGGUCGGUCUUAACUAGAUGAUAACUUCCGAUUGACCUCAGAUCAGGUAGGGAUACCCGCUGAACUUAAGCAUAUCAAUAAGCGGAGGA